AUACUUACCUGGACGGGGUCAAUGAGCGAUCAUGAAGGCUCAUGGCCUAGGCUAGUGGCCUUCAUUGCACUUUGGUGGUGCAUUAGGCUAAGGUCUACCUAAUAGGUGGAGCCUACGUCAUAAUUUGUGGCAGCGGGGGCUUGCGUUCGCGCAGCCCCUAU
rfam:Ipomoea nil DNA, scaffold: scaffold0470, cultivar: Tokyo-kokei standard.